rnacentral:lncRNA from 10 species
GGCUUGCGGGGUCAGCGAACUGGAGAGGCGCCAUGGGCUGGAGUAAGCCCCCCUCCACCUUCCGUCCUCGAUCGUUCCCCUUGUGGAAGUAGUCCCGGGUCUCGUGGGAUCCUCGCCGCCCGCUCCCGCCCUGCGCUGUCGGUUCCCCCGCGCCUGGGCGGACCCUAACCCCACCCGGCCCUCCGCACCGCAGCCCCGGCUGCACCAGGUCCUCUGCAGACUGGCCGGACAGCCUGGCCUUUUCCAGCUCAGUCACAGAAGAUCUUAUUAGACGGAAUGCUGAACACAACGACUGUGUCAUUUUUUCCCUGGAGGAACUCUCGUUGCAUCAGCAAGAAAUAGAAAGACUAGAACACAUUGAUAAAUGGUGCCGGGAUUUAAAAAUUCUCUAUCUUCAAAAUAAUCUUAUUGGGAAAAUUGAAAAUGUUAGCAAACUCAAGAAACUUGAAUAUUUGAAUUUAGCUUUAAACAACAUUGAAAAAAUAGAAAACUUGGAAGGAUGUGAAGAGCUGGCAAAACUUGACCUGACUGUGAAUUUCAUUGGAGAGCUGAGC